rnacentral:tmRNA from 1 species
GGGCGUGCUAGGCCUCGAACAAGUGAACAUUUCAACUAUCAGCGUGUCGUGGAUCGUAUUGAAUUCACGCUAAUCACAAUCAAUACAUCUGUUACGUGCAAACGUUAUGUCUCGCGUGAAAGUUGCAUUUGCUAACGCAUUUGCGCCUUCAUUUGCGACAGCUAUCGCUUAAAUUCGGUAGCCAUCGUCUUCCAUCAUCCGUCGGGUGGAUGCUCGGUGUUAUCUAGACGGAUAUAGUUUCUUUUCUUUCGCGUAGGGGAAACUGAAUGCACAUACGCGAUGCGCAUACGAUUAUCUUUGCUGAUUUUUGUAACCAUAUGCGUAAUUAAAAUCAGCUGCACACGGAGAACAUAUUGAAAUACCAUUUGUCACGGCGGUUCAAUUCCGCCCACGUCCACAC